rnacentral:lncRNA from 1 species
GGGGACAUGUGGAGGGGAAUAUGGGCACACUGACCAUGUCCUCGGCCCCAACAGGAGGUGACCUCCAUGUUAGUGACUGCAGAGAGGGCCCGCCAGGGAGUCCAGGAGAGGCAGGGGCAGCAGAGGAUGUGCUGAACUGUCAGAAAUGGAAUGAGCAAUUCAAACUGAUGGAGGAGAUCGAGCUGCUCCAGGAGGCUGCAAAUCUGUACACCGUGCAGCCUGACAAGCACUUUGGGGCCUGGUUCCAGGCCAUGGAGCCCCUGAGUGAGGAGGAGGAGAGCUACAGCCUGUCCUGCCAGCUGGAGCCCAGAUACCACUGGGCCAGAAAGAUUCGACUCUUCUUCAAAGACAAGAAGAACAGCUCAGGUAAGAGUGUGUGUCUGCACCGGCAGUGGCUGAAUCCACAGGCUCAGGAAACAUUCAGGCUGAGCAUGGGCCUGGGGAGGCAGACAGCUGGCCCUGGGUCCCAACUCCACUGCUGAGCAGUCCUGUCCUGGGCAAUUGCACUCAUGUUUCUCGGACUGGUUUCCUCCUCUGUGAAAUGGGUGAUGUUAAAUAUCAGCCCCUGUGUCAGGGACAGAUGGGGUCCUGUUGGCUGUCUGACCACUCAGCACAGGGCUGGAGCACAGAGCAGAGUGGGGGCAGGGAGGGGUGUGUGCUGUGGGUCCAGGGCAGGCCCCUCAAGAAAUGCCUCUCUUUCUCCAGACACCAGACCCCCAACGAAGGGCCCAGUGGUGGUGGUCCAUGACCCUCCUGAGACCAGCUGAGCUACAGUGGGUACACAGUGGGGACAAUCAGGGUGCACAGGGUCAUCUCCUCAGAUUCUGAUGAGAACUUUGUGAUCCAUUUCCUGGGGUCCCCUGGAGGCCACGAUGGAAGGCAUCAACCCCUCUUCUCCCUCCCCCCCUUUUCCCCAGCACCUAUCUCCCUAUUUGGAGGGGCCAUGUUUUGUUGUCAAUGGUAAAUGCUGCAUUUGAGUAUAACAUUAAAUUGUUGCUUCUUUCUAAUCCUGGGAGUGGAGGUGUGCGUCUUUCACUCCCUGCGCUCAUGGAAACCAGAUCCAGAAACUCACAUUCCUUCUCGAAUUUAGAAACAUCACAGAGUCAUCAGCUCAGUUUAUGUGGAGACUGGAGAAGUGCCAGUCCCCUCCCUGGCUACUGAAGGACAUGCCCAAGUCCCCCUUCCUCCAAGGACAGGAUCAUUGCAGUGGGGCUCACCCUGUCCAGGAGAAGAGAUGGCCCCUCCUACCUCUUGGGACUAAGAGGUUGGAGGCAUUUUCUCAGGCAGAACGACAACCACUGAGCUGGGUGUGUCUUUCAAACUAGCACAUGCCUGUCCCUAGCACAUGUCCUGCCCAGGACAGUGGCUGCCUUUCUACACUCUGCCAGAAGAGGGAACAUUUUCCUGGUUUCUCUGGCACACAGAUUAGGACCUUGUUUUCUGAUUCAGUCUCUGGAAUGUCUUCAGCUCAAACUGGGGAAA